GAUGAACGCUGGCGGCGUGCCUAAUACAUGCAAGUCGAGCGGACAGACGCGGCUCUUGCUCCUCUCACGUUAGCCGCGGGCGGGUGAGUAACGCGUGUAACCCGCCCUUUACUUUGGGAUAAAUUUAGGAAACCCGGGCUAAUACCCGAUAAGAGCUCUUGAUCCACGGUGUGCGUUGGGAAGUUUCGGUUGUUGGGGACGUACUCGCGGCUUCUCAGCUUGUUGGCUAGGUAGUGGCGUACCAAGGUUUCGACGGGUAGCAGACUUGCCAGGGCGAGCGGCCACACUGGAAGUGAGACAGGGUACAGAGUCCCACGGGAGGCAGCAGUAGGGAUUCGUGAGGAAGGGGUGAAGGCCUGACGGAGCAGCGCCGCGGGAGUGAUGAAGGUCGUCGGAUCGGAAAACUCUGCUAUUAGGGAAGAACAAAUGUGUAAGUAACUCGGCACGUCUUGACGGUACCUGAGCAGAAAGCCACGGCUAACUACGUG
rnacentral:rRNA from 1 species